UCAAGUCCCCAGGUCGGAUAGAAGAGCUUCCGCAUCUCCCUGAGGACAGAGGACAGAGCAGCAGCCAGUCCAGUGCUAGGCCUCUUCCGGCCUUGUUCCACGAUCUCUGGCCAGCUGGAUGGUUCCCGAGGACUUCAGGCAGCCUGAUGCCAGCUGUAGACCAGGCCUGGGCUGGCUCACCACUGGGAGGACGGUGGCCUGGAGGCUGAGGGGAGAUUCCUCCACUGCUGCUGGGCUCUGGCUCCUUGGCAGGGGCUCCUUGGCCAUGACUUCCAGGGCUUCUCUGCGUCAGCUCUUGGCAUCUCACCCCAAGACUGUAACCCAGGGCCCAUGGCUGCCUGGGAAGAGCCCCUCCUGCUCCUGCCACCCCAAAGACAUGCGGGCCCUGCAUGAAGCCUGGGAUCUCUGCCAAGCCUCUGGGGACUGCCGGCAGCUUUACCCCUCCCAUGGUGCCUCUCCAGGCCUUUGGCCAGGGCUCCUGAGCAGGAGCACCCAACUGUUUGUCCAUCCAGUCGACAGGGAGCUCCUGGAGGGCAGGGACUGCAUGGGUUCUGGCUUUGUACCUCCAGCGCCCAGUAGGGCCCUGGCCCAGAGCAGGACAUUAAUAAACACUUGUUGA
rnacentral:lncRNA from 1 species